UAGAGAGAGGAUUUAACGUAAGUACUUACAUAAAUGCAUACGUACACACUUGAUGCUAUGGGAUGCAGUGAUUAACUACACACUAAAAACAUGAGACCUUUACUACUACUACUACUACUACUACUACUAGAGUAUGACAGGCUAGACACCACAACAACUAAAUUCUUAUCUAUUUCAAAAUGACAAUGACAUGAUAGGAGUUCUCCACGUUAACACAACUUUGGUUAUUUCAGACAGCAACUUCCCCUUUUCAUUUUAUUACCUUCAAGAGAACUCCACCUGUUACCCUCAUGCUAAUUUGUAAACACACAACACUCCCUUGCAAAAUAUCACCUUGACAAAGUCUGAAUGGUUGAGGGACAGAUGGGGUGGGUUUACAGUUACACAGCAUACAAUCUCUGCCCUUGAAGCAGAGGACUGAGUUUCACUUCCACUGCUCCACUCUCUCUCUCCAUUCACUAACUAUCAAGAGACAAAGCAUACCAGCACAGGCUGACACUGCACAGCCACACACACAGGCAGGUAGGUAGCUGUAGCUGGAUGAAUAUAGGGCAAAUGGUCAACUGUGUGUAACAUGGCAGGCGGUAGAGCACAGGACAGCAAAUUCUGCGCAGCACUAGACAGCAGGCUGUCGCAGAACAAGCUACAAGCCAGUGUAGCAACACCCACAUUUCACACGUCGUGUUUGAUAAUUCAUGAAGGCCACAGUGUCCGUACCGGCAUGCAACUGAUUUCUUUUCAACUGACCAUUUUAUAGCAGGCAAAGCCUUCAUGUAACGCUGAGCAGCUCGACUGUCAUGAGAACAAACAUCUGUUUGUGCAAGAAGCAACAAGCCCAAGAAUCAUCCCUGUGGUAUUACCCAUCUCUGGUGAAAUGGGGGAAUGGAGAAGCACAGGUAUGAGCACCAAUUCAUCACCAUCUGUCGACCAUCAGAGCUGUUAUGAUCUGUCGCUUGGAAAUGGAUGGCCCUCGCUGUGCGGUGCACAGGAGCUGUCCUGGCCAGGGCCACUACUCCUCAUUUCACCUGGUCAUCACACAUGAGCAUUCAGAUGAGCAGAGAAGGUUGACAGGUUGUUGAAUCCUCAGCAUUCUAGGUAAAUAAGUAACUGCAUUUGUUAUCGUAGCAGUAAGCAAUACAAUCAGCAUAAAGGGCUAUAUCAGGGGUUUCAAUCCCCCUUUUUUGGCCUGUGGCCCAGAUAAUCUCACAAUCCCAGCAGUUAGUCAGAUGUAAAAUUGUUGCAUAAAUCUGAUUAAGUUAUAAUUUACUAUUUCUGUUUUCAAGGGAUUUGAUAAAGCUUCAUACAGACAUUGAACAAAAUAUUUCAAACCUUCGUAGUGUUUUUAAAUUAAAAAUCUAGCAGAUAAGUCAGCGAAUCAACACGGAUCGCCUUAUCAUAAAAAGUUAUAAAAAAGGUUUCCCAUGAUCACACCUUAAUUGCUGCUUUAUUGUUUUUUGAUGCACCCAUACAUUUCAGAUGUUUCAUGCUUUUAUCUUGAUGCUUUUAAAUUUUGUCAGUUUUCAUACUCUUGAGCAGAACAAUAUUUUGUUUAAACUGUUUUUGUAAUAAAAAAUACAA